UAUUACAUAAAAUUGAUGGACUCGUUAUUCUGGGUCUUGUUUGAAUUUUAAAAAAUACAUAUGUUUUUCCUUUCGGAUCAAUGCAGUCCAUUCAUAAGGUUGUCAUAGGUGCCCAUGAAAAAUUUCAAUAAAAAAUACGCAGGGAUCACAUAUUACUCAAAAUUCAUGGGUUAAUAAUACACAUAAAGUUUGAUAUAUUUUUCAUUUCUGACUUCAUUUGAACUUGAAAAUGUAGACAUUUGUCUUUGCUGACGAACCCAGACCAUUAACUAGGUAGUCACGGGCUUCCACAAUUUUUUUAGCCAAAAACACGUCAGAAUCAUAUAUAUCACCCAAAAUCCUUGGAGUAUAGCACAUGUAAAACGAGACGAGAAAUUUGAAAUUUUUUGUUUCUGACCAUAUUUGAACUUGAAAAUGCAAACGUUUUUCCUCCAGACAAACCCACACCAUUAAUAAUGUCGACACAGAGGUCACAUAAACUUUCGACCAAAAACACGUCAUGAUCACAUAUAUCCCAAAAUUCAUGAACUAUAGCACAUGUAAAACGAGAAAUUUGAUUUAUUCCAUUUUUGCCUCGUCUGAACUUGAUAAUACGUAUGUUUGCUCCUCUGGACCAACCCAAACCAACUUGAAAAUGCAGAUGUUUGUCCCUCUGAACAAAUGCACGUCAUUAAUAAGGUCGUAACAGAUGCCCAUAAAAACUUUCAAUAAAAAACACGUCUGAAUUACAUAUCACAAUCCUUGGACUAUAACAUACAUAAUACAUGAAAUUUGUUAUUCUCCGUUCCGUGCCUCUUUUGAACUUUGUAAUCCAGACGUUUGUCCCUAUGGAAAAACCCACCCCAUAAAUCAGGUCGUCAUAGACGUCCACAAUUUUUUUUACCAAAAGCACGCGGGGAUGACAUAUCACUCAAAUAUCGAUAGAAUAGCACCCGUAAAACAAGAAAUGUGAUAUUUCUUUUUCGGGUCUCAUUUGAAAUUUAAAAUGUGGAUGUUUGCCCCUUCGGACCAACACAAACCAUAGAUAAGGUUGUUUGGGAUGUCCACAAAAAUUUCAGCAAAAAACACAUCGGGAUCACAUAUCACUCAAAAUACAUGGACUAUAGCACACAUAAAAUAAGAAAUUUGGUACUUCCUAUUAUGGGCCUCACUUAAACUAGAAAAAACAGACGUUUUCCCAUUCGGACCAACCUCCGCCAUUAAUAAGGCCGUCACAGACGUCUGCAAAAACAUUCAGCCAAAAAUACACCACAAUUGCAUAUCACCCAAAUCCAUAGACCAUAGAAAACCUACAACAAGAAAUUUGGUUUAACCUUUUAUGAGUCUCGUUUGAACAUGAAAAUGCAUGCUUUUACCCCUCCAGACCAAUGCACAUAAUUAAUAAGGUUGUCACAUACGUUGACAAAAAUUUCAGCAAAAAAACACGCUAGGAUUACAUAUCACCCAAAAUUAAUAGUCUAUAACACACGUACGAUGAAAAAUUUUGUAUUUAUUUUUUUAGGCCUUGUUUGAACUUUAAAAUGCAGACAUUUUUUCCUCCAGACCAACCCACACCAUCAAUGGGUCGUCACAGACACCCACAAAAUAUUUCGGCCAAAAAAAUAUUCGUGGCACAUAUAACCCAAAAUUUAUAGACUAUAGAACAUCUAAAUAAGAAAUUUGGCAUUUUCUAUUCCGGACCUUGUGUGAACUAUAAAUGUAGACGUUUACCCCUCGAACUAACACACAUCAUUAUUCAGAUCGUUGCGGAUGCCUUAAAAAAGUUUCAUCCAGAAAACUACUUAAUAAAGAAUGUAAUCAAUGAUUAUCUCUUCUAAAGACAAACAAUUUAUAAUACCAUAUAUUUUAGUACAUAUUGAAUUAGGUAGCUUUGAACUAACGCGUGCUAUUAAAUAAGUCGUCACAGACGCCCAUAAAAUUAUUUAGCCAAAAACACAUCUGUACCAUAUAUCACCAAAAUCCUAUAGCAAACGUAAAUUGAAACAUUUGACAAUAGAUCAAGGCACACCAUUAAUAAAGUCGUCACAGACACUCACAAAUUUUUUAGCAAAAAGCACAUCGGGAUCACUUAUCACCCAAAAU
rnacentral:lncRNA from 1 species